rnacentral:rRNA from 1 species
UACGUAGGGGGGCAAGCGUUGUCCGGAUUUAUUGGGCGUAAAGAGCUCGUAGGCGGUCUGUCGCGUCGGAUGUGAAAACCCAGGGCUCAACCCUGGGCCUGCAUUCGAUACGGGCAGACUAGAGUUCGGUAGGGGAGACUGGAAUUCCUGGUGUAGCGGUGAAAUGCGCAGAUAUCUGGAGGAACACCGGUGGCGAAGGCGGCGAUCCUGGACCAAUUCUGACGCUGAGGAGCGAAAGCCAGGGGAGCAAACGGGG